AUGUUGUACCAAAUCAACGUUCAUGCUCAAUCAUUUCAAAUGGCCAUGGAUAUAUUGAACCAAGGGAAUGCUUCAGAUUUGAAACUUCGGUUGAUUUCAGACAGAAAAAGUGAUGGAAGGAUAUACAAUCAACCAACUAUUUCCGAAGUUACCGCUUUGAUUGUUAGAGAUGUUAAUACUGGAGAAAAAGAGAUAUCAUAA